GACGAACGCUUGCGGCGUGCUUAACACAUGCAAGUCGAACGGAAAGGCCCUGCUUUUGUGGGGUGCUCGAGUGGCGAACGGGUGAGUAACACGUGAGUAACCUGCCCUUGACUUUGGGAUAACUUCAGGAAACUGGGGCUAAUACCGGAUAGGAGCUCCUGCUGCAUGGUGGGGGUUGGAAAGUUUCGGCGGUUGGGGAUGGACUCGCGGCUUAUCAGCUUGUUGGUGGGGUAGUGGCUUACCAAGGCUUUGACGGGUAGCCGGCCUGAGAGGGUGACCGGCCACAUUGGGACUGAGAUACGGCCCAGACUCCUACGGGAGGCAGCAGUGGGGAAUAUUGCACAAUGGGCGGAAGCCUGAUGCAGCAACGCCGCGUGCGGGAUGACGGCCUUCGGGUUGUAAACCGCUUUCGCCUAUGACGAAGCGUGAGUGACGGUAAUGGGUAAAGAAGCACCGGCUAACUACGUGCCAGCAGCCGCGGUGAUACGUAGGGUGCGAGCGUUGUCCGGAUUUAUUGGGCGUAAAGGGCUCGUAGGUGGUUGAUCGCGUCGGAAGUGUAAUCUUGGGGCUUAACCCUGAGCGUGCUUUCGAUACGGGUUGACUUGAGGAAGGUAGGGGAGAAUGGAAUUCCUGGUGGAGCGGUGGAAUGCGCAGAUAUCAGGAGGAACACCAGUGGCGAAGGCGGUUCUCUGGGCCUUUCCUGACGCUGAGGAGCGAAAGCGUGGGGAGCGAACAGGCUUAGAUACCCUGGUAGUCCACGCUGUAAACGGUGGGUACUAGGCGUGGGGUCCAUUCCACGGGUUCCGUGCCGUAGCUAACGCUUUAAGUACCCCGCCUGGGGAGUACGGCCGCAAGGCUAAAACUCAAAGGAAUUGACGGGGCCCCGCACAAGCGGCGGAGCAUGCGGAUUAAUUCGAUGCAACGCGUAGAACCUUACCUGGGUUUGACAUGGAUCGGGAGUGCUCAGAGAUGGGUGUGCCUCUUUUGGGGUCGGUUCACAGGUGGUGCAUGGCUGUCGUCAGCUCGUGUCGUGAGAUGUUGGGUUAAGUCCCGCAACGAGCGCAACCCUUGUUCACUGUUGCCAGCACGUUAUGGUGGGGACUCAGUGGAGACCGCCGGGGUCAACUCGGAGGAAGGUGGGGAUGACGUCAAGUCAUCAUGCCCCUUAUGUCCAGGGCUUCACGCAUGCUACAAUGGCUGGUACAGAGAGUGGCGAGCCUGUGAGGGUGAGCGAAUCUCGGAAAGCCGGUCUCAGUUCGGAUUGGGGUCUGCAACUCGACCUCAUGAAGUCGGAGUCGCUAGUAAUCGCAGAUCAGCAACGCUGCGGUGAAUACGUUCCCGGGGCU
rnacentral:rRNA from 1 species